rnacentral:rRNA from 1 species
GUGGGGAAUAUUGCACAAUGGGGGGAACCCUGAUGCAGCAACGCCGCGUGAGUGAAGAAGGUUUUCGGAUUGUAAAGCUCUGUGAGCAGGGAAGAGAUAGGACGGUACCUGCAAAGCAAGCCACGGCUAACUACGUGCCAGCAGCCGCGGUAAUACGUAGGUGGCAAGCGUUGUUCGGAAUAACUGGGCGUAAAGGAUGCGUAGGCGGUUAUAUAAGUUAUAUGUUAAAUAUAUAGGCUUAACCUGUAGAGAGCAUAUAAAACUGUAUAACUAGAGUGCAGGAGAGGUAAGUGGAAUUCCUAGUGUAGCGGUGAAAUGCGUAGAGAUUAGGAAGAACACCAGUGGCGAAGGCGACUUACUGGACUGUAACUGACGCUGAGGCAUGAGAGCAUGGGGAGCAAACAGG